rnacentral:rRNA from 1 species
UACGAAGGGGGCUAGCGUUGCUCGGAAUCACUGGGCGUAAAGGGUGCGUAGGCGGGGCUUUAAGUCAGGGGUGAAAUCCUGGAGCUCAACUCCAGAACUGCCUUUGAUACUGAAGAUCUUGAGUCCGGGAGAGGUGAGUGGAAUUCCUAGUGUAGAGGUGAAAUUCGUAGAUAUUAGGAAGAACACCAGUGGCGAAGGCGGCUCACUGGCCCGGUACUGACGCUGAGGCGCGAAAGCGUGGGGAGCAAACAGG